UAUUCCUACGCUACCGUCAAGCCCUACACGUAGGAGUGUUUCUUGGCGUAGAAAAGCAGUUUACAACCCAUAGGGCCGUCAUCCUGCACGCGGGAUGGCUGGUUCAGACUCGCGUCCA
rnacentral:rRNA from 1 species